CUUUUCUCAAUUCUUGAAAACAGCUUCGGCGGGGCCUUUUGGGGAUAUUAUUGAAGAGUGGUGUUUUUAGGUAUUAGAAAGCCCAGUUCAGUCUAAAGCCAACUUUCCAUCCUGCAUGCAACUUAAAGGUUUCCUGUAAGGUCUCCACCCUCAGCUCAGCUCAACCCUGCCCCUAAACCUUGAGGUUCAGCGGUGGGAAGGAUGGGCAAUAUUUGUUCUUUUACUCUCUUCUUUCUUCCCCUGUUUCACCCUCCAAACUCCUAGACUGUGGCUCUAGGGAUAUAUCCAUUUGGGGAAUAAGAUACUAGCUCCCCCUUGUGACAAGCACCUGCACACUGAUGCUGGGGAGAUGAGCAAUGGAUGAUUUUGGCUUCCUCUGAAUAACUCCUGAGAGGGCAUGUGUAGUUCCUCUGUGGGAGGACAUUGUCACCUGUGUCAACAGCUUUGAGGCUUUAGCUAAACUUGUGAGAGGUUAUAAACUCCAUGGAAGUUCGCUUAAUAGUGUCCCAUAACUGACCAUUGUCUUGAUACACACUGGGUUCAUAAGAAAGACACGGCAUGUGGAAGACACUGUGGAUGAGGUGAAUGAGGAGUUCUUCCAGCUCUCUUCUCCAGUCCUGGAGCUCCAGAAAGAGGAGGAUGAGCCAGACCCACUGCCUCCAGGUGAAGGCAGCACAUUUGUGGUGGCUCCCAGCAUCUCCCCUUGUGAGUGGCAGGAAGAUAAACUUCACCCACUGGAGACAAGUGGCCCAGACGGAGAGAAGCUGGGACCCUGGGCCCUGAAGAGCCACCGGGCCCUGGAGCUGGAGGUGAGGAGAGUCCACCUGGCUCAGAGGAUUGAAGACCUGGAGUGGAAGCUGUCCUUGCUCCUUCAGGCGGCCAACAGCAGUUCGAGCAUGGGAGGGAGCUGGCUCAGCUGACAUAGCAGCCUAAGGGGCACUGAGUCACAUCAGAUGCUGCAUGGUGGCCACCUCCGGGAGGUGCCUUCUCACCGAGAACAUGAACGGGCUCCCCUGGUAGGAAGGAGUGGGCAUCUGGGGCCCGGAGUGUGUGCUGGUUUCACGACAUGCUCCUACAGGGAAACACCUGGAUUUCUUUCAGAGCCUGGACCUCAGCUUGUGCUCAAUUCUGCCUUGAACUUUCUGGGGUGGGGGAAAAUAAACUGACAUGGGUUGACAAAA